UUAAAGGAGAUCCAGCUAUGCAAUGCAGAGUUAAAUGAGCGGGAUUUAUCUAGCAGCUGGUGAAAUUCAAAAUUGAAAAGAUCUACGAAUUCACCCUAAAUAUACACCCUAUAUUCUCACUGCAAAAGUCACGUUUGAUUAUCAGUACUGAAGAUAUUAAUAAGUGAUGAAGUGAUAUCUUGUGCGGGGAUUCAAUGAGGUAUGGUUUUGAUGUAAAUUUUAUCUUUUAACAAUUAUAGUUCCACAGUCGUCUCUAUUCUUUUCUAUUCAAGGGGCGUUUGGAUUUGGAUUUUGACACUUAUGAAUUGAUAAUUUUUUAAUGUUUGAAACACAAAAUUUAGGGAUGUUUGGAUUUGGAUUUCAACUCUUGUUCUAUUAUUUAUAACGCAAUGCCCAAAGCAAAUAAGGAUGAAGUCUGGCUUAUGCAGGGUUUUUUUUUAUUAUCAACUGAUUUCUUAUGUUGAUGUUUUGUAUAAUGAUUUAAAUUAACAGAAAAACAAUAAACCUCAGUUUCUUGGAGGUUAUCAGCUUUGAUAUUACAUAAUUUUUUUUAUUUUAUAUUUUAAUACCAAUUGGGUAACAUCAACAUGGAUUGUGUGCUGGUUGAUUCAAUAGGGAUGCAUCAAUAAGCGCCUCUGAUAGGGCCAUGUUUCUGUUUGGUGCCAUAAACCCAUCUCAUAGGUAAUGUAUUGUUAUAUGUCAAAUUCACGAACCACUAAUUUUACAUUAGUUAUGUUGGUAACAAAUGGCUUUAAUUUUUAUCCAAACAUUGUUACUAAUUUUGACCCAUUUACUUAUGAAUGGCUCUAUUAAUUAGUACGUGCUUUAUCUUAAACGGGUCAAAAAAUCCUAAACUGGAACAGACCAUUCUUUACAAUUUACUCAGUCUAUGAAAUCGUUUUAAUGAAUAUGUUUGAAAUAUUAUUGUAAAAACUGUUUAGAUCUUGUAAUUAAGAAGCUUUUGUAACCGUAUUUGACAUGUUAGUAUCUAAAAAAUGAACUAAAAUGUGUUGGGUUAACGUACCCAGAUCCACCUGCUUUCAACUUCACUUAAAAUAACCAGCAUGAACCCAAACCAGUUGUGAUCCAACACACAAUGCUUCUAUGCUACAAGCAAUCAAGACAAGACUUGUAGAGUAUGAAAGUUAAGUAAUUAAUCUUUCAAACCCGGUCUUGGUUCAUAAAGGCAACUUGGGAGCGGUUCGAUCAGUUCGCUUGUCAUCAGACGAACAGUUUUGGUGGAUACACUGCAUAUAAUGUGACAAAAUUAAUGCUUUAUUUGUUUUGUUCUCACUCGCCUCAAAUAUUGUUAUAACCUGUUCGGGUCGGAUUUGUCAUGUUUUGCUCAGUAUACUUUUUUGUACAUUUGAGUCUUGUUUUAUGAAUAAUUUGGGUCAAGAUCAAUCAGGAAAUUUGGCAUGAUACAUAAGUCUCACAUUUUUAUCCUUGACAGCCUAUUUCUUGCAUAGAAAAUGACAAAAACAAGGCACAAAGUCAUCUUUAUUUACUUAUGUAUGGAAAGUACAGUGACUAAAACAUAUUUGAUCUCCCAUUUAAAUUCAUUUUAUUAAUUAUAUGUUUGAGAUAAAAACAUAACCAAAUCAACUUGUUCAUAACUAAACUGGUCGAAACCACCACGUCUAAAUUAUUAUGCUAAUUGGUCUCUUCUUUGGGUUUCAGAUUGUUGGACAUAAGGACCUUCUAGAGGGUGAUUCUUACUUAAAACAAAGAAUUAGAUUGCAAGAUUCGUACAUCACAACCUUAAAUAUAUUUCAAGCUUAUACCCUAAAGCGGAUGUGUGACCCAAACCAUCAUGUGACAAUAAGGCCACAUAUUUCAUAAAGAAUACACCGAGUCAAGCAAACCAGCGAAUGAGCUUAUCCACCAUAACCCGACCAGUGGCUGUUUGGAGUCGAAUGGACGGAUUUAGGGAAUUAGGUUAACUCGAAUCAUAGGGAAUCUUUUUGGUUUGUUUAAAAUUUAGUAGUGUGAUAUGGAAUUGGUUGAAUCGUUAUUACCAAUGAUAUUGUGUUAGAAGUGAUGCAGGUUGCCGAUUUGAAGAAAACUAUAGAAACAUUGCAAGGAUUUGAUGUUUAUUUAGCUUGCUUUUGUUCUGGGGUUUCAUCUUUUUAUGAAAUUUUGAACUUCACACUUCAGAUCUGCAUAUUUUCUAACAAUCUUUAGCUUAAUUUGUUCUGUGGUUUAUCUUAGUAUGGAAGUUGCUAAAUCUGAGACUGAUUCACCGUCUUCCCUUCAGAACAUGAGAGGCUCAGUUGAAGGAUCCGCGACCUGCUGUUUUGAAGCCAGCAGUAGAUCGCUUGUCACCGAAGACCAACACCCUUGCUAUAUUUCAAUGGUACAACUUGACAACACAAAAAGUCUUCCACUUGAUGAAUUUUUUGGUCAACGAAUGUAAGGUUGCUACUAAUUUUGACAUUUCUUAAUGAUUAUGGUUUAUCAGUCUAUAGUCUAUGUGAUGAUUGUAAACUCCCCAGUAAGGGCUAUUCAUUUUGGAUUCUACUGGAUGGUUUUUCAUAUAGAACCAAAAGUAAGCUCAUGCUAUACCAUUCUACACUAAAUAUGCAUUUAGACAUAAUUCUUAUGAUGAAUAUUAUGGUAAAGA